AGACUAUAUUAUAUCACUAUUAAUUUUUUUGUUUCUUAAUGUUUCCUGUUAUUUUUAUGUAUGUAUCUAUAUAUAAUACUGUAUAUAACGGCACUGUAAUGCAACCUGCUUACAAGUUGAGUUGUUCUGUGUAAAUCAAGCACACAAGUCGCCUAUAAUAUGCUUUACGUUAUCAUCUACAGAUCUACUGCUCGUCACAUUUUUGAACAUGG